rnacentral:tRNA from 1 species
AGAGAGGUGUCCGAGUGGUUGAAGGAGCUACCCUGGAAAGGUAGUAUGUGGGUAACUGCAUCGAGAGCGGCCGCCGCGCGGUUCGAAUCUCAUCCUCUCUG